rnacentral:rRNA from 1 species
CAAUAGCGUAUAUUAAAGUUGUUGCAGUUAAAAGCUCGUAGUUGGAUUUCUGGCAGGAGCGACCGGUCACACACUCUGUGCGUGAACUUGUGUUGUCUCUGGCCAUCCUUGGGGAGAUCCUGUUUGGCAUUAAGUUGUCGGGCAGGGGAUACCCAUCGUUUACUGUGAAAAAUUAGAGUGUUUAAAGCAGGCUUAUGCCGUUGAAUAUAUUAGCAUGGAAUAAUAAGAUAGGACCUCGGUUCUAUUUUGUUGGUUUCUAGAGCUGAGGUAAUGAUUAAUAGGGAUAGUUGGGGGCAUUAGUAUUUAAUUGUCAGAGGUGGAAUUCUCGGAUUUGUUAAAGACUAACUUAUGCGAAAGCAUUUGCCAAGGAUGUUUUCAUUAAUCAAGAACGAAAGUUAGGGGAUCAAAGAUGAUUAGAUACCAU